CCCUACGGGAGGCAGCAGUGGGGAAUCUUCCGCAAUGGGCGCAAGCCUGACGGAGCAAUGCCGCGUGAACGAAGAAGGUCUUCGGAUUGUAAAGUUCUGUCCUUAUCGAAGAGAGGGUAUAGAGUGAAAAAUGAUAUACUAGGACGGUAGAUGAGGAGGAAGCCCCGGCUAACUACGUGCCAGCAGCCGCGGUAAUACGGAGGAUGCGAGCGUUAUCCGGAUUUAUUGGGUUUAAAGGGUGCGUAGGCGGAAUGCCAAGUCAGCGGUAAAAUCGCGGGGCUCAACCUCGCUCCGCCGUUGAAACU
rnacentral:rRNA from 1 species